GCUGGCUGAUUGUCAGAGUGUCAGACUCAGCAGUUCCUGAUGCUCCUGUGAUGUCUGUGUCCAGACUGAUAUGUCACAUAGUCGUAGGGACUCCUUUCCUGGUGUCCACCAUCAUACUGGGACUCAUAUGCAUAGACAGAAGAGCUCCUCGGCUUGUUGCAAAGGACAGAAGACAUGAUGUCAUCAUGGAGGUGGAAUAGAUGAUGAUGUCUGUGUCACAUUUUUAUUUGUGUAUUAGUUUGUCUGUUUUUUUUAAUUGUAUGCUCAUGAAAAAAAAAUUCCUGUGUCUGAUAUUUAUUUUGUCAAAAAGUGAUGUGAGAUUACGAAGAAUAAAAUUACAAAUUAAUGUAACAAAAACACUGGUAUAGUUAGGAAACCUGCUCAGAAACAUACUGGGGUGUCAAUGAGCCAAUAAAGGGAACUAAACAAAAAGAAAAAGAAAGUCAAAAUAAGUACAGAAUUUUUCACAGGAAGCUCAGUGCAGAGCUGUACUGGCACCUGAGAGAAGACGUCUUGAUCUGCUUCUUCCUGUUGUGGUUGAGGUUACGCAAAGAAAAGCAGCAGCCAUUUUUUAUGAGGUUACGUAUGUAGUGGUUUUAUUUACAAACAGGUACAGGGAGAGAUUAUGAGCCACGGCCUCCAUCCAGUGGUGCAGCUUAAUUACGGUCGUGUCGUCAAGUUCACAGAAAAGAUUCUAAAAGACGAUGAUUCAAGAACGCUCUGCCAGAUGUCAUCUGUCACAUCCCUAUCGUCACAUAGGGCUCUGGGACAAUAGAACUUUUGGGAACAAAUGACUCUGGGAACAUAGGACUUUGAGAGGACUUGCAGCUU